rnacentral:rRNA from 1 species
CGUGGGUAACCUGCCUUAUAGUGGGGGAUAGCCUUUCGAAAGGAAGAUUAAUACCGCAUAAGAUUGUAGUAUCGCAUGAUAUAGCAAUUAAAGGAGCAAUCCGCUAUAAGAUGGACCCGCGCCGCAUUAGCUAGUUGGUGAGGUAAUGGCUCACCAAGGCGACGAUGCGUAGCCGACCUGAGAGGGUGAUCGGCCACAUUGGGACUGAGACACGGCCCAGACUCCUACGGGAGGCAGCAUG